rnacentral:lncRNA from 1 species
UGGACACGGAGGCUCAAAAAAGGUAUCCAUGAAGGGUCCAACACUAUGAAACGACGUAAAUAAUGUCAGAAAUGAAGAUCCAAAUGUAGCAAGUAGCAGCAAUUGCAUACAGUAUAUAUAAGGUGGUUUUUCAUUUCUCUAUUGCACAUCACUGAAACUAUAGUCCCUACAAUUACAUGCUAUUAAAAUCAUAAAUUAACACGUCCUAGAAAGUGGGUCCAAUUCACCGUUCUCCAUUAAUACAGCUUCUUUAAUCUCCUGUAACAUCUUCAGGAUUUGCCACAUCGUGGGCCUUUGUUCAGGAGAGCUCAAACUACAAGAAAUGGCCACUUCAAGCAGCAUCCCUAACCUUUCAUCAU